UGGGGCUACACACGUGCUACAAUGGCCGGUACAGAGGGCUGCUACUCAGCAAUGAGAUGCCAAUCCCCUAAAGCCGGCCUCAGUUCGGAUUGUCGUCUGCAACUCGACGGCAUGAAGCUGGAAUCGCUAGUAAUCGCGGAUCAGCGACGCCGCGGUGAAUACGUUCCCGGGCCUUGUACACACCGCCCGUCACGCCAUGGAAGCUGUGAGCGCCCGAAGUCGGUGCAGGAACCCGCAAGGGACCAAGCCGCCGAAGGCGAGCGCAGUGACUGGGGCGAAGUCGUAACAAGGUAGCCGUAGGGGAACCUGCGGCUGGAUCACCUCCUUU
rnacentral:ncRNA from 1 species